CGCGUAGGUGGAUCAAUUAGUCUGCUGUGAAAGUCAAAGGCUCAACCUUUGAAAGCCGGUGGAUAAUGUUGAUCUAGAGUACGGAAGAGGCGAGUGGAAUUCCUGGUGUAGCGGUGGAAUGCGCAGAUAUCAGGAGGAACACCAAUAGCGAAGGCAGCUCGCUGGGACGUCACUGACACUGAGGCGCGAAAGCGUGGGGAGCAAACA
rnacentral:rRNA from 1 species